UAGGGAAUCUUCGGCAAUGGGGGCAACCCUGACCGAGCAACGCCGCGUGAGUGAAGAAGGUUUUCGGAUCGUAAAGCUCUGUUGUAAGUCAAGAACGAGUGUGAGAGUGGAAAGUUCACACUGUGACGGUAGCUUACCAGAAAGGGACGGCUAACUACGUGCCAGCAGCCGCGGUAAUACGUAGGUCCCGAGCGUUGUCCGGAUUUAUUGGGCGUAAAGCGAGCGCAGGCGGUUUGAUAAGUCUGAAGUUAAAGGCUGUGGCUCAACCAUAGUUCGCUUUGGAAACUGUCAAACUUGAGUGCAGAAGGGGAGAGUGGAAUUCCAUGUGUAGCGGUGAAAUGCGUAGAUAUAUGGAGGAACACCGGUGGCGAAAGCGGCUCUCUGGUUUGUAACUGACGCUGAGGCUCGAAAGCGUGGGGAGCGAACAGGAUUAGAUACCCUGGUAGUCCACGCCGUAAACGAUGAGUGCUAGGUGUUGGAUCCUUUCCGGGAUUCAGUGCCGCAGCUAACGCAUUAAGCACUCCGCCUGGGGAGUACGACCGCAAGGUUG
rnacentral:rRNA from 1 species